AUUGAACGCUGGCGGCAGGCCUAACACAUGCAAGUCGAACGAGUGGCGGACGGGUGAGUACUGUCUGGGAAACUGCCUGAUGGAGGGGGAUAACUACUGGAAACGGUAGCUAAUACCGCAUACCAUCAGAUGGGCCAAGAUGGGAUUAGCUUGUUGGGGGGGUAAAGGCUCACCAAGGCGACGAUCCGUAGCUGGUCUGAGAGGAUGACCAGCCAAACUGGAACUGAGACACGGUCCAGACUCCUACGUGAGGCAGCAGUGGGGAAUAUUGCACAAUGGGCGCAAGCCUGAUGCAGCCAUGCCGCGUGUAUGAAGAAGGCCUUCGGGUUGUAAAGUACUUUCAGCUGGGAGGCGUUACCCGCAGAAGAAGCACCGGCUAACUCCGUGCCAGCAGCCGCGGUAAUUC
rnacentral:rRNA from 1 species